rfam:Fonticula alba strain ATCC 38817 mitochondrial scaffold supercont2.211, whole genome shotgun sequence.
GCGGGUAUCGAUUAAUGGCUAAAUCCUUUGCCUUCCAAGCAAAUGCUAUGGGUUCGAGUCCCAUUAUCCGCA